rnacentral:rRNA from 1 species
CCUACGGGAGGCAGCAGUGGGGAAUCUUGCGCAAUGGGCGAAAGCCUGACGCAGCCAUGCCGCGUGAAUGAUGAAGGUCUUAGGAUUGUAAAAUUCUUUCACCGGGGACGAUAAUGACGGUACCCGGAGAAGAAGCCCCGGCUAACUUCGUGCCAGCAGCCGCGGUAAUACGAAGGGGGCUAGCGUUGCUCGGAAUUACUGGGCGUAAAGGGAGCGUAGGCGGAUAGUUUAGUCAGAGGUGAAAGCCCAGGGCUCAACCUUGGAAUUGCCUUUGAUACUGGCUAUCUUGAGUGUGGGAGAGGUAUGUGGAACUCCGAGUGUAGAGGUGAAAUUCGUAGAUAUUCGGAAGAACACCAGUGGCGAAGGCGACAUACUGGCCCAUUACUGACGCUGAGGCUCGAAAGCGUGGGGAGCAAACAGGAUUAGAUACCCUGGUAGUCCACGCUGUAAACGAUGAGUGCUAGUUGUCGGCAGCAUGCUGUCGGUGACGCAGCUACGCAUUAAGCACUCCGCCGUCGGGAGGUACGGUCGCGAGAAUAAACUACAANAGAAGUAGACGG